rnacentral:misc_RNA from 1 species
GAUGAAGAACGUAGCGAAAUGCGAUAAGUAAUGUGAAUUGCAGAAUUCAGUGAAUCAUCGAAUCUUUGAACGCACAUUGCGCCCACCAGUAUUCUGGCGGGCACGCCUGUUCGAGCGUCAUUUCAACCAUCAAGCCCCAGGCUUGUGUUGGGGACCUGCGGCUGCCGCAGGCCCUGAAAACCAGUGGCGGGCUCGCUGUCACACCGGGCGUAGUAGAUUUUAUCUCGCUCAGGGCGUGCUGCGGGUUCCGGCCGUUAAAAAGCCUUUUUUACCCAAGGUUGACCUCGGAUCAGGUAGGAAGACCCGCUGAACUUAAGCAUAUCAAUAAGCGGAGGA